UGGGGAAUUUUGGACAAUGGGCGAAAGCCUGAUCCAGCAAUGCCGCGUGUGUGAAGAAGACCUUCGGGUUGUAAAGCACUUUUGUCCGGAAAGAAAUCCUUGGCUCUAAUACAGUCGGGGGAUGACGGUACCGGAAGAAUAAGCACCGGCUAACUACGUGCCAGCAGCCGCGGUAAUACGUAGGGUGCAAGCGUUAAUCGGAAUUACUGGGCGUAAAGCGUGCGCAGGCGGUUUUGUAAGACGGAUGUGAAAUCCCCGGGCUUAACCUGGGAACUGCAUUCGUGACUGCAAGGCUAGAGUAUGGCAGAGGGGGGUAGAAUUCCACGUGUAGCAGUGAAAUGCGUAGAGAUGUGGAGGAAUACCGAUGGCGAAGGCAGCCCCCUGGGCCAAUACUGACGCUCAUGCACGAAAGCGUGGGGAGCAAACAGGAUUAGAUACCCUGGUAGUCCACGCCCUAAACGAUGUCAACUAGUUGUUGGGGAUUCAUUUCCUUAGUAACGUAGCUAACGCGUGAAGUUGACCGCCUGGGGGAGUACGGUCGCAAGAUUAAAACUCAAAUGAAUUGACGGGGU
rnacentral:rRNA from 1 species